ensembl:lncRNA
GGAAUUCUGCUGCCCUCAGCUGUGUGAUGAAGUGGGUAAAGGAGUUGGCCAGGGGGACUGAUGGUGUCAGAAACCAACCCGCCAUUCCCACCCCACCUCGUGUCCCUGGAGCCUCCAAGAGGAAGUUGCAUCCCCAUGCCGACUGAGCAGUUGCAUUCUUGCAUCCCAGGACUCCUGGCCAACAGAGCACCAUGAAGCUGUGCCUCAGGUACAGAGGCCACUAACACCUGAAUGAGACAUAGAAGUGCUCUGAACAGCAAGCCCAAGCACUGCUAACCCGCUUAUGAGAAGCUGGCUGACACAAUCCAUCCGCUUCCCGAGGCCUGAGAAGAAUAUGAAAUCAGAUUAAUCAGAUGAAGACGACUCAUCUGAAUCCCAUCACAUCAGGGUGAGGCUGUAAGCGGAAGGGUGCUGGGCACUCUGGGGUCCUAAACACCACCUACAAAGCAGAUCUGCAGAAUGGGACAGAAAGGAAUCAAUUAAAUAUAUCUCUGCUGCACUCAACGCAGUUCCAUGGGUGUCUGCAGAAAUUAGGGGUUCCACAUCCUUCCCAAGGGCUCUGCUGCACCACUCCCUUUCUCUCUCAUUGCCCAUAAGGGCUGGGCGUCCCGCCGAGCUCGGGAUGGACAGGUGAUAUUUAGUGACAGUUUUUGAAGUUGCUUUUCCCAGAGCCAUUACAAAACGUACAACCAGCACAAAUCUGACUGUAGGGUGAAUUUGCCACCUUGAAAUCAAAUUCUCAUGGAAAUGAAAUGGCUGACCCCAAAUCCCCCGAAUGCUGGAUGAGCUCGCAUGAUAAACAACUUGUAAUGGCUCUGCUGGCGCUACCGACUCUGUUAAAUGUCACUGCUUCUCUAAAUACCUUCCGGGAGAUGACUGCUCUAUCUGUAUUCUGUAUUUUCCCCUUUUUAAUAUCAGCGUCUGCAAUGUUGCCAUCCUGGAAGCCAUUGUCCAGGGAUUGCAGAGAGCCUCAGACUCAUUUUGCUCUCUGUCACGUCAGUCAUUUCUCAGUAUCCACAUCAGUGUUUAGCUCACAACAACUUUACAGCAAGCUGCCUGCUGCCUGGCAGGCCAGGCUGGCACAGACCCCACUCUGCUCCUCUGGAAGGGCCGUGCACAGCCCCAUGGGGACACAUCUGCUGGUCGCUGCUGCCAAGCCCUUAUGGUCAUCAGCAUCACCACCUGGUCUUGCUUCCCUUUCAAGACCACUUCUUGUUUUAAGUCAGCAGAAUGAUCGCUUCAUGCUUUUAUUACACGGAUCUAUAUUUGGGGUGCUGAAAAUGGUUUGCAUCUAAUUAGCCUACCCCAUCCCCCCCCAAAAAAGGUGCCAAACUCAUCUUGUUAAACCACAUGAGCAACACCAUGCAGAUAGCCCAGCACAGCGGGUGCAUUCUGUCACAUAGCAAACCCUGCAUUGCUGUCUCUAAAUGUCUGAAAGUCUGUAAAACAGCUCUAAAUACAAUUAGGGAGCAGUGGAAGCAAAAUGACUGGGGCAUUUGCAUCCAGCUGCUUGCCUGGAGCAUGGGCUGCUGUGUGCAGAGCUCAAGGAUUCAAGCGUUGGCCACAAUAGCAGUAACACAGAG